rnacentral:lncRNA from 1 species
CUGAGGGAACUGGGCGGGAACGAGCUGAAGGGACCGGGGCGAUCUGAGGGAACCGGGCGGGAACGAGCUGAAGGGACGCGCGCUGAAGGACGGGUGGGAGCGAACUGAGGGAGCUAGAGCUAGAGCUGGAGCUGAGGGACGGGCGGGAACGAGCUGAGGGGACCAGGGCGGCUGAGGGACGGGCGAGAGCGAGCUGAGGGACAGUGGGGACGAGCUGAGGGAACCGGCCGGCUGAAGGAACCAGGGCGGCCCUGAGGGGCGGGCGGGACCGGGCUGAGGGGGAGCCCAGUGCAAGCCCUGAGGGAGCCCAGGCUUGUGUGGCUGGGCGAGCACAGAGGGCCGAUUCCCUUCAAGUGAGGGAUGCAGUUGUGUGAACCUCCAUGGUCUUUCACGGCAUCUUCCAGGAGAAAUUCCGGGUCCGUUCCUCACCCCUGAUUUCUUGUGGUGUCAUGCCAGAGCACUCUGAGAGAGCAGAAGAUAAAGGCACUGACAGAUGAAGUCUAGUCCAAGAUGAAACAGAAAAGCAGUGGAAGAAGAAACCUCAAAUGGUUGCAAAAGGCCAAGCUGGAGUCACUAGAGCCAAAGAGAAUUCUUGACACUUUAUCUGACAGCUGAAU